rnacentral:rRNA from 1 species
UACGUAGGUGGCAAGCGUUGUCCGGAUUUAUUGGGCGUAAAGGGCGCGUAGGCGGCCUGGCAAGUGGAAGGUGAAAUCCCUCGGCUUAACCGAGGAACUGCCUCCCAAACUGCUUGGCUUGAGACCAGGAGAGGUGAGUGGAAUUCCCAGUGUAGCGGUGAAAUGCGUAGAUAUUGGGAGGAACACCAGUGGCGAAGGCGGCUCACUGGCCCGGUACUGACGCUGAGGUGCGAAAGCGUGGGGAGCAAACAGG